AUGGGCAUGAAGUGCAAGAGGCACCCGUUCCAGGCCGGUGGCGGCGUCUGCGCCACGUGCCUGCGGGACCGCCUGCUCGUGCUCGCCGCCGCGCAGAACGACGCGUCGUCGCCGUCCACUCCUCCGGCCACCGCCCCCGCUCCGCCCGCGGAGGCAGCGCCGGCCCCGGCGUUCCCGAGGUCCGUGUCGCCGUACGUGUCCCGCAGGAAGUCCGACUCCUCUGGCGGCGCGCUCAGGCACCACCCGAGCCUGCUUUUCUUCCGGACGCCGCAGGUCGGCCCCGCCUACGGCGGCAGCGCCCCGCUCGAGGAAGGCGACAUCGGGUACCAGAAGCCGCGCGCCGGGAAAUUUUCCGUGCUCGCCACGCUCUUCGGCAACCACCACCACCGGCACCACAGACCGGAGGACAAGGAAAAAACCAAGGAGCGCAAGAAGAGCCGUUCUUGGCUGGCCGGGAUCAUCCCGCGCCGUCGCAGGAAGCAGGUACCGGCCGACGCCGUGCUACCCGCGUCGCCGCCGCCCAGGCGCUCCUGCCGCGUGGUCAGCAACCGGGGGCUCUCGCCGGAGAGGGGCAGUCAGGGCAGCGGCGAGGAGAGCAGCUCGCCCGCCGAUCCCCCGUGGCGGCCGUCUCCUUCCCCGAUGCGGAGGACCCCAUGCCGGCGCCGGCAGACCAGCAGCAUGCCUUCGGGAUUUGCUGUCUGCCUCAGCCCGCUGGUGCGGCCCAGCCCCGGGCGCCGCCACCGCGCCGCGCAGCCGCCGGACUCGAGCACCUUCUCCUCCGAGCUGCGGCCGUCGCCGCUCCACAGCGCCGCCUCUGUUGGACGCUGCCGCUCACGGAAGCUCGCCGACGGCGGUCGCUUCCGGUGA
rnacentral:rRNA from 1 species